UACGGGGGGGGCAAGCGUUGUUCGGAAUUACUGGGCGUAAAGGGCUCGUAGGCGGCCAACUAAGUCAGACGUGAAAUCCCUCGGCUUAACCGGGGAACUGCGUCUGAUACUGGAUGGCUUGAGUGUGGGAGAGGAAUGCGGAAUUCCAGGUGUAGCGGUGAAAUGCGUAGAUAUCGGAAGGAACACCAGUGGCGAAAGCGGCUUCCUGGUCCAGCACCGACGUUCAGGCACGAAAGCGUGGGGAGCAAACAGG
rnacentral:rRNA from 1 species